CAGCAAACAAGAGAUGGCCUCAUCCAGCUACAGGACAAACGCCUGAGCUUCUCUGGGCUCUCAUGAACUGGCUCCCGACAUUUGACUUGACAGUCUGGGCCUCCAUCAGGAAGAGGCAUAAAUAUAGGGGCACAAGGCCGUCCGCUUUGGGAUUGCAGAGAUGCUGAUCUAAGACGUCGAUCCUGAUGAACGGUGCAUCAAUUACUGGAUGAGAUCUGCAGCCUGGCUGGAAAUCCUGAGGAUGCAGAACCCAGAGCCCAGAGGGCACAGGGGACAGAGAGCGGCGUCUGAGUGCUGGGCAAGAGCGGCAUCGCCCAUUUGGGAAAAGAGCCAAAGCUCAGGGGCAAAGAUCCGAUCCCAGGACUGUGAACCUGCCGCCGGUCAAACUCGGGAGAGGGGUUUCAGGCCGAAAUUCCCCUCUGCACUCCAGUUUGAACUGCUUUUCCCCAAGACCGUCCCUUUCCCACACCAUCAUCAUCUGAGCACCGCCAGCGCCAAGUGGCAUUGGAAAUAAAAACUCCCAUGUCCCCGCCCCAGGAGGGCUAGAACGAAAGUCUUACACGUUCUGAAGCUGACAGCGUCUCACUCUGCCUGCAUAAAGCUGAAAAGAAAACAGGUACCAGCUGGUUUGAAUCUCCGCUCAGCGACUCAGAGCCCUGGAAAUCCACCCGUCGAGAGUCUUUGCCGCUGAACAAGAUGUUCUUGGCAUCUGAUUGGA